rnacentral:rRNA from 1 species
UUGAAUCUUCCACAAUGGACGAAAGUCUGAUGGAGCAACGCCGCGUGAACGAUGAAGGCCUUCGGGUCGUAAAGUUCUGUUGUAAGGGAAGAACAAGUGCCGCAGGCAAUGGCGGCACCUUGACGGUACCUUGCGAGAAAGCCACGGCUAACUACGUGCCAGCAGCCGCGGUAAUACGUAGGUGGCAAGCGUUGUCCGGAAUUAUUGGGCGUAAAGCGCGCGCAGGCGGCCUCUUAAGUCUGAUGUGAAAGCCCCCGGCUCAACCGGGGAGGGCCAUUGGAAACUGGGAGGCUUGAGUAUAGGAGAGAAGAGUGGAAUUCCACGUGUAGCGGUGAAAUGCGUAGAGAUGUGGAGGAACACCAGUGGCGAAGGCGACUCUUUGGCCUAUAACUGACGCUGAGGCGCGAAAGCGUGGGGAGCAAACAGGAUUAGAUACCCUGGUAGUCCACGCCGUAAACGAUGAGUGCUAGGUGUUGGAGGGUUUCCGCCCUUCAGUGCUGAAGCUAACGCAUUAAGCACUCCGCCUGGGGAGUACGGUCGCAAGGCUG